UCUAGUGUUUCUCUUUUAUUUUUAAAGGUUAAUCUUUUUUAAAUAUGUUUUGUACACCAAUGUUAAAUUUCUGGAAAGUCUAAUAUAUUUUAUAAACUAACAGCUGCCAUUAUAGUUGGGUGUUGUACCCAGAUGUGAUACUCUAAUGACGAGUAGCACAACUUCAAUAUAGUUUUAGUAAGUAACUGCAAUAAACUACACUAGUAAGAGUAACAAAGUAUUUGGUGAAAUGGCUAUUAUUAACUACUGUUUUACUGAUCAUAAUGUGCAAUGUGAUUUUUUAUUUUGUUUGGUUUUUUGUUUUUGAAGCUGUUCUCCAGGAGGUGAUACCAGCACAGGGAGACUCAGCUUACCUCACCUUGGCAUUGACCUGCAAGUGCUUUGAAGCCGUUGUGUCUGACCCAGUUUUCAGGAAGAAGACUCACUUUGCUUGGCUGGAUGGUGAGAUCAACUGGGACAAAUUUUCAAAAAACAUUCAAGGCAGAAAACCGGAUUCCUUUUGCGGUUGUAACGUGUUCUUCCUGCCACCGGUGAUAUAAAGACUGUGGGCUUCACCGGCGAUGGAAGACGAGGAGAGUACCUUGGUUACUACUGUGAUGGCCGACCUGGACACUGCACUGACUGUCAAUACUGAAUGCAAGGAGAAUAUUAGUUGCUUUCCACUGUCUUUCACACAUUUCAGUUAUCACACAUUGUUAGUUUUUUUUGUGACAAGCCAUUUUAAAUCAUUUCUGCUAAAGAAUAUUUGCCUUUUGACUUGUGCAGUCAUCCUUUUUAAUAAUGUGUUCUUUCAAUAUUAUUUACAUUUUUGAAUGUUCCUUUUGUUGUAGCUCAGUUGAUUUGCAUUAUUUAGUUUUCAUAGAAAUGGUGCCGUUUCCACACAAAGUUACAUUAUGGCUGUAAUUUGUUGGAGAGAGUAGAACCAAUAAAGUAGUUGUAAAUAUAUUGUAA